GCUGGGUGCGGUGGCGCGUGCCUGUAGUCCCAGCUACUUCGGAGGCUGUGGUGGGAGGAUUGCUUGAGCCCAGGAGUUCUGGGCUAGAGUGCACUAUGCCGUUUGGGUGUCCGCAUUAAGUUCGGCAUCAGUACGGUGACCUCCGGGAGCCAGGGACCACCAGGUUGCCUAAGGAGGGGUGAACCGGCCCAGGUUGGAAAUGGAGUAGCUCAAAACUCCCCCGCUGAUUAGUAGUGGUAUCGUGCCUGUGAAUAGCCACUGCACUCCAGCCUGGGCAACACAGCAAGACCCUGUCUCU
rnacentral:SRP_RNA from 1 species